rnacentral:rRNA from 1 species
GGCUCCACCGUAGCCAGAAGAGCGCGGGAAAUCCUUAAAAAACUGUGUCGUGCUGUGGGGAUAGAGCAUUGCAAUUAUUGCCUCUUCAACGAGGAAUGCCUAGUAAGCCCGGGCAUCAGCAUGCGUUGAUUACGUCCCUGCCCUUUGUACACACCGCCCGUCGCUACUACCGAUUGAAUGGCUCAGUGAGGCCUUCGGACUGGCUUGGGGAGGUGGCAACGACCCCCCUGAGCCGGAAAGUUCGUCAAACUCGGUCAUUUAGAGGAAGUAAAAGUCGUAACAAGGUUUCCGUAGUUGAACCUGCGGAAGGAUCAUUACCUUUCAAUGCAGAAGAGGUGAGAUGGUUGAGUAUCUCGCCUCUCAAUUCUCGC